CAAUCGGCCCUCUUCAGGGCCACAAAAAAACUGCUUUAUAUUUGAU
rfam:Bursaphelenchus xylophilus, Ka4C1 (inbred line), WGS project CADV01000000 data, contig: scaffold00422.3